UUCGGGGUACUCGAGUGGCGAACGGGUGAGUAACACGUGGGUGAUCUGCCCUGCACUUUGGGAUAAGCCUGGGAAACUGGGUCUAAUACCGGAUAGGACUACGGCCUGCAUGGGUUGUGGUGGAAAGCUUUUGCGGUGUGGGAUGGGCCCGCGGCCUAUCAGCUUGUUGGUGGGGUGAUGGCCUACCAAGGCGACGACGGGUAGCCGGCCUGAGAGGGUGUCCGGCCACACUGGGACUGAGAUACGGCCCAGACUCCUACGGGAGGCAGCAGUGGGGAAUAUUGCACAAUGGGCGCAAGCCUGAUGCAGCGACGCCGCGUGGGGGAUGACGGCCUUCGGGUUGUAAACCCCUUUCAGCACAGACGAAGCGCAAGUGACGGUAUGUGCAGAAGAAGCACCGGCCAACUACGUGCCAGCAGCCGCGGUAAUACGUAGGGUGCGAGCGUUGUCCGGAAUUACUGGGCGUAAAGAGCUCGUAGGUGGUUUGUCGCGUUGUUCGUGAAAACUCACAGCUUAACUGUGGGCGUGCGGGCGAUACGGGCAGACUGGAGUACUGCAGGGGAGACUGGAAUUCCUGGUGUAGCGGUGGAAUGCGCAGAUAUCAGGAGGAACACCGGUGGCGAAGGCGGGUCUCUGGGCAGUAACUGACGCUGAGGAGCGAAAGCGUGGGGAGCGAACAGGAUUAGAUACCCUGGUAGUCCACGCCGUAAACGGUGGGUACUAGGUGUGGGUUUCCUUCCUUGGGAUCCGUGCCGUAGCUAACGCAUUAAGUACCCCGCCUGGGGAGUACGGCCGCAAGGCUAAAACUCAAAGGAAUUGACGGGGGCCCGCACAAGCGGCGGAGCAUGUGGAUUAAUUCGAUGCAACGCGAAGAACCUUACCUGGGUUUGACAUGCACAGGACGCCGGCAGAGAUGUCGGUUCCCUUGUGGCCUGUGUGCAGGUGGUGCAUGGCUGUCGUCAGCUCGUGUCGUGAGAUGUUGGGUUAAGUCCCGCAACGAGCGCAACCCUUGUCUCAUGUUGCCAGCGGGUAAUGCCGGGGACUCGUGAGAGACUGCCGGGGUCAACUCGGAGGAAGGUGGGGAUGACGUCAAGUCAUCAUGCCCCUUAUGUCCAGGGCUUCACACAUGCUACAAUGGCCGGUACAAAGGGCUGCGAUGCCGUGAGGUGGAGCGAAUCCUUUCAAAGCCGGUCUCAGUUCGGAUCGGGGUCUGCAACUCGACCCCGUGAAGUCGGAGUCGCUAGUAAUCGCAGAUCAGCAACGCUGCGGUGAAUACGUUCCCGGGCCUUGUACACACCGCCCGUCACGUCAUGAAAGUCGGUAACACCCGAAGCCGGUGGCCUAACCCCUCGUGGGAGGGAGCCGUCGAAGGU
rnacentral:rRNA from 1 species